rnacentral:rRNA from 1 species
GCUUAACACAUGCAAGUCGAGCGAGAAUCGUUUAUUGAAGGCUUCGGCUGGAAAUAGAUGAGGAAAGCGGCGAACGGGUGAGUAACGCGUGGGCAACCUGGCCUUAAGAAAAGGAUAGCCCCCGGAAACGGGGAGUAAUACUUUAUGAGAAUGAAAGAGUGCAUCCCACUUUCAUUCAAAGCGCAAGCGCUUAAGGAUGGGCCCGCGUAUCAUUAGCUAGUUGGUGAGAUAACAGCCCACCAAGGCAACGAUGAUUAGCCGGUCUGAGAGGGCGAACGGCCACAUGGGAACGGAGAGACGGUCCAAACUCCUACGGGAGGCAGCAGUGGGGAAUAUUGCGCAAUGGAGAAGAACUCUGACGCAGCAAUACCGCGUGAGCGAAGAAGGUCUUCGGAUCGUAAAGCUCUGUUAUCAGGGAAGAAGAAAAUGACGGUACCUGAUGAGCAAGUCCCGGCUAACUACGUGCCAGCAGCCGCUGUAA